GACGAACGCUGGCGGCGCGCCUAACACAUGCAAGUCGAACGGAGCUGAGAGAAGCUUGCUUUUCUUAGCUUAGUGGCGAACGGGUGAGUAACGCGUGAGUAACCUGCCCUGGAGUGGGGGACAACAGUUGGAAACGACUGCUAAUACCGCAUAAUCCCACGAUCCGGCAUCGGAUUGAGGGAAAAGGAUUUAUUCGCUUCAGGAUGGACUCGCGUCCAAUUAGCUAGUUGGUGAGGUAACGGCCCACCAAGGCGACGAUUGGUAGCCGGACUGAGAGGUUGAACGGCCACAUUGGGACUGAGACACGGCCCAGACUCCUACGGGAGGCAGCAGUGGGGGAUAUUGCACAAUGGGGGAAACCCUGAUGCAGCGACGCCGCGUGGAGGAAGAAGGUUUUCGGAUUGUAAACUCCUGUCGUUAGGGACGAUAAUGACGGUACCUAACAAGAAAGCACCGGCUAACUACGUG
rnacentral:rRNA from 1 species